AUAAGUAGGUUGUAAGCCAGGGCCCCACGAAAAGAGAUUCGCCGUUCACACAGGGUUUUCCACUUUUCUAUAUUUCAGGUUUUUUUUAUUUAUAUAUUUUACAGGUAUUUUCCCGUUUCAGGUUUUUUCUAUUUUUUAGUCUAUUUUACAGGUUUCUUUUUUAUUUUUUCUUCUCUUUCAGCUAGCACCCGAGCCUAGAUUUUUAAAGCACUACAAUUUUUUCUUAAUCAUGAUGGAUUGAGAGUAGUGUUUUAAAAAUCAGGUAAAUCGCAAUGACUUAAUCGAUGUCAAUAUCGAAGUCGUGUGAGAAAUUGUUAUAGUAUGAGAACAAUUUCGUAAUUCGUGCUUUCAAAA